AACGUAAUUAAGACAAACAAUGACUGUCUAUGUAUUCAAUGUAUGGGAGGGAAGUCGCAGUAUGCUGGGAGCAAUGAUGAGAUUGUACGUUUCGGAUAAUUAUAAACAUCAUGUUUUUACUGUGUAUUCUAUUCGUACAGCCCAGCGUCAAUGAGUUAGCAUUUCCUGCUUGCUCUCGCAUCUUAAUAAAGCGUAUGUGGGAUUUAGAAAUGUACUUAGAAAAAUAUUAAUGUUAUUUUUUUAUACAUUUCGUUAAAAUUUGGACAUAAUUAGGCGAAUAGAUUAAUUACAUCAAAAAUGUAGUACCGAAAUUGUGAUUUAACAAUUAUUUGACUGAACUGGAAUGGGUCGAAAAAUGUGUCCAAUCGAAACAAAGCAAGCGGAGUCGAAGCUAAAAAUUAUCCUGUGAAAUUAUGAUUUGAAUGCUGCAAUAACACUUAAUCAUUUUUAUGGUCGUAUUACAAAUACUAAUUAUUGUUUUAAUUUUAUUGCGUAUAUUACUACGCAGACCUAUACUAUGAUGCUGUUAAUCAUUAUGUUUCUCCCCGUAAUGACAAUCCAAUAUUCAAUUAAAGUUCAUGGGAAGGUCGAACUAGCUAACGAUGUGUCAAGCAUUUGGAAAUACUUAUCUAAAGUGAUUAAUAUUCCAAAAAUUAAUUUUCCCGAAGAAAAUGCUAACGUACCUAAAGAAGCCGUAACUCAACUUCUGCGAGACGAGAUAAAAAAGUACGAGAUUAUUCAUCUGUUUGGGAAUCAUGCAAAAACAUUAAAAGGAAAUCCAUAUGUUAAUAAUAUUAAUGUUUAAAAA